GAGAAAAAUCACUUUUCUUCCAACCACUAAAUUAUUGAUUCAGUGAGUCUCUCAGAGUGUGCUAACCAAAUGCAAUCCGUUAUCUAAACGAUGUCCUUGGACAGAUGAAUGGAUGAAGAAGCUAUGUAAAUGGAGAGUUAAAGUUUCAAUAUAAGACAGACCAUCUAAGAGAAACAUAAAGAUAAAUGUUUCCAGAUACCUGGAGUAAUAGUCAGAAUCUCCAAUGGAUGCACUGACGAGGAAGAAACAGAUGCUGUACAUUGACAUCCACAGGAUGACAGGGUUUUUCUCUAAAUUUCUGAAGAAUCACUCCCAAAAUGGAAGAAUAUUCAGAUGACAAACAGUGCAAAGUAACCUGGUUUAUCUAUUUCUGUCAUCACCAUAUUGCCUAUAGUAGCACUUGUGUUUUCUUCUGCCUAAGUUGCUGAUGAAUACAACACAAUCUCCUUUGCUUUCACACCUGUGAAGAAGUUCAUGUUCCUUCAUGGUUUUCUAGAAGAUUGCUGCUGGCAACAAUGAGAAAGAGACUUAAUAAAGAGGAAUCAGCUACCAAAGCCUCUCUCUCUCUCUCUCUCUC